rnacentral:misc_RNA from 1 species
UCCGGUUUGGCACCGGCAGUCCUCCCAGAGUCCUCGGCUUUACCCGGUAGCAACUGGGAGCGGGGGUUGCGCUCGUUGCGGGACUUAACCCAACAUCUCACGACACGAGCUGACGACAGCCAUGCAGCACCUGUGCACGGGUCCCGAAGGAGGCUCCUGGUUUCUCAAGACUUUCCCCUGCAUGUCAAGCCCAGGUAAGGUUCUUCGCGUUGCGUCGAAUUAAACCACAUGCUCCACCGCUUGUGCGGGCCCCCGUCAAUUCCUUUGAGUUUCAGCCUUGCGGCCGUACUCCCCAGGCGGGGCACUUAAUGCGUUAGCUUCGGCACGGAUGGAGUCGACACCACCCACACCUAGCACCCAUCGUUUACGGCGUGGACUAC